AAAUUCUCAACCACACCAGAUUGUUUUCUGAUGUGGCUUGGAUGUGGGGGUUGUAAUUUUGCAGGCUUUUAGAAAUUGAAGUCGGCUCCCCUGAAAUGCAUUAGUGGUAUCUGAGCAGAAAAAAGACUACUACAGGUGUGAUUAAUUUUAUCUACGCCUUGGUAAUAAUUCCUGCAUGAACGGAUUGCACCGCUUCUAACGACAACAUUAUGAUGA
rnacentral:misc_RNA from 1 species